ACCAUUUCUUCAUUUUGCUGUAAUGUAAACAAGUCUAAUAACACCACAGGAAGGGAGAGUAAAAGCAGAAACAGGCACAGUGAGAUGUGGGAUUACGUGCUGUAGGCAACAGGCUGUCACUGGACCUCUGGACCAACAGGUAAACUUCUAACUUUCAGUGCUUUGUGAUAGAAAAAUACUUACUGCAAAAUUUUGGUGGACCUUUGGCCAUUUGUGGAUCAGCCACUUGUUGCAGCGUACCAUUUAACCACUCUUGACAACAGCUUGACAACAAAGUUAGUCCCGGCCAAGGCGCUGUCUGGAAUGGACACUACAGGUAGAACUGUAAUGUCUUGAGGCACAGCUGCUACAAACUGCAUAUUGAUUGUGGUAUUUUGUGAGAGACUUUCACCUUACCUGUUCAGGUUGCUGCACUGUCAGACUGAAACCAUGAGCGAGAAAAAGCAAAGGCAAAUGCUGAAAAUCAGAGAAAAACAAGAAAUGAAGGGGGACGGAAGUGAAGUGAACCCAAAGAAAAAGGUUCAUGCAGGAGAUGUCCAAGACUUCCUGAUAAUACAAAAAUCCAAGCUUGCUGUGCACGGAUGCAACCUGCCAAAAAGGCAACUGCCAGCUGAUGAAACAACACACCUGCAACACAAAGGCGGGUGAUGACAAACUGGUUUCAACACAGUUUCUCCCACUACCAGUUAGAGCUGUCAAGACCCAUCAGCAGGUCAAGCUGUUGAGCAAACGCGCCUCAUCUUCCAGCCUUAAGGCCCAUUUAUGCUCAACGUUAAAUACAGAUCUGGAUACAGACAGAGCCUUCUGUCCGUGCUCCGCGUUCAUUUCGUCCGGAUUUCUGCACGUUUCCAUAAAGCUUAUGGAUAUGGGCCAAACGGAGAAGUACCACCAGAAACUGUGGGGGCAGUGUUGCUGUCACUACCCGAUACGUAGCUCUAGUGAGACACGAAGAGGAAAUAACAAUGGCGGAACUUUUUGUGGAAAGGUCGUGCAAGUUAGUUAGAAACUAUAAACAUCUCUAUGAUGUUACUUCUCCUGGACACCGGAAUAAACACAUACUACAGCACAACUGGGAGGAGAUUGGAAGGGAAUUAAAUGUGAGUUGGUCGGUAGCGAAGGAGAAGUGGAGGUCUGUGCGAGACAGAUUUGUUGCCCACAACAAGUCCAUGAGCAAGCGGAGUGGGGAUGCUGCUGAUGGGGUGGAUCCACCAAUUCUUUGGCGUCUGGGAUGGCUCAAGGCUUAUAUAAAUCACCGAGCAACGGCGACCAACUACCCAGAUAAUGACAUGUUGUCCUACAAAACUGCGGCAACAAGGAGGGCUGUCAGCAGAAAUGGGACAGACCGAUGCCUGUGCGUCUGCCCCCAGUUGAAAACAUGUCCCAGUCCAGCUCCGGCUGCUCCUGGUCAGCAGCGCACAAACCUGAGAUGGCAGAGCUGAUCAAGUGCUGCAAGCAUAUCAUCGACUCUCAAGUCAGUCCCUCCAAGCCAAUGACUGGGAAACUGCACAGACCGCCACGUGUCCUGCCACCAAAUUUUCACAAGAAUGAGGACGUCAAGAACCUCACGCUGGUCCCAGUUGCAAUGAGGGUUGAGAGUCCCAGUGCUGACAAAGCAAAGAAGAAGCAGAUGAUGGAAACAUUUCCAUCAUCAAACUUCUCCCAUUAUCUUUGAGCUGUCUUUUAUUAUUUUCAUUGUUUGUUUUACUGUUUAUUUACUUAAUGCAUUGUAUUUACACUGAUCAGCCACAUCACUGACACCACUGACAGGUGACGUGAUGACAUUGAUCAUCUUGUUAUGUGCAGUGUUCUGUAUUCAUGUUAAAGUCCUCUCAACAUGCACCGCCCACACUAACACCAUUGCAGACGAAGUACAAACUUCAUGGCAACGGCACUCCCCAAUGGCAGUAGCUUCCCC